CAGAAAAUAGUUUAUUUAAAAAUAUUAAUUUUGGAGAUUAAUGAUAGAAGAAUUUUUCUUUUUCUGA
rnacentral:tRNA from 1 species